rnacentral:rRNA from 1 species
GGUUAAGCGAAUAAGCGUACACGGUGGAUGCCUAGGCAAUCAGAGGCGAUGAAGGACGUGCUAAUCUGCGAAAAGCGUCGGUAAGGUGAUAUGAACCGCUAUACCCGACGAUAUCCGAAUGGGGAAACCCAGUAUCCAAUGGAUACUAUCAUUAACUGAAUCCAUAGGUUAAUGAGGCGAACCGGGAGAACUGAAACAUCUCAGUACCCCGAGGAAAAGAAAUCAACCGAGAUUCCCCUAGUAGCGGCGAGCGAACGGGGAGCAGCCCAGAGUCUUAAUCAAUAGCAGUGUCAGGAGAACGGUCUGGAAAGUCCGGCAGUAAAGGGUGAUAGCCCCGUAUCUGAAGAUGCUGUUAUUGUGAACUCGACGAGUAGGGCGGGACACGUGUUAUCCUGUCUGAAUAUGGGGGGACCAUCCUCCAAGGCUAAAUACUCCUGAUUGACCGAUAGUGAACCAGUACCGUGAGGGAAAGGCGAAAAGAACCCCGGCGAGGGGAGUGAAAAAGAACCUGAAACCGUGUACGUACAAGCAGUAGGAGCCUCUUUAUGGGGUGACUGCGUACCUUUUGUAUAAUGGGUCAGCGACUUAUAUUCUGUAGCAAGGUUAACCGUAUAGGGGAGCCGUAGGGAAACCGAGUCUUAACUGGGCGAAUGAGUUGCAGGGUAUAGACCCGAAACCCGGUGAUCUAUCCAUGGGCAGGUUGAAGGUUGGGUAACACUAACUGGAGGACCGAACCGACUAAUGUUGAAAAAUUAGCGGAUGACUUGUGGAUGGGGGUGAAAGGCCAAUCAAACCGGGAGAUAGCUGGUUCUCCCCGAAAGCUAUUUAGGUAGCGCCUCGUGAACUCAUCUUCGGGGGUAGAGCACUGUUUCGACUAGGGGGUCAUCCCGACUUACCAACUCGAUGCAAACUGCGAAUACCGAAGAAUGUUAUCACGGGAGACACACGGCGGGUGCUAACGUCCGUCGUGAAGAGGGAAACAACCCAGACCGCCAGCUAAGGUCCCAAAGUCAUGGUUAAGUGGGAAACGAAGUGGGAAGGCUCAGACAGCCAGGAUGUUGGCUUAGAAGCAGCCAUCAUUUAAAGAAAGCGUAAUAGCUCACUGGUCGAGUCGGCCCGCGCGGAAGAUGUAACGGGGCUAAACCAUGCACCGAAGCUGCGGCAGCGACACAAAGUGUUGUUGGGUAGGGGAGCGUUCUGUAAGCCUGCGAAGGUGUACUGUGAGGUAUGCUGGAGGUAUCAGAAGUGCGAAUGCUGACAUAAGUAACGAUAAUGCGGGUGAAAAACCCGCACGCCGGAAGACCAAGGGUUCCUGUCCAACGUUAAUCGGGGCAGGGUGAGUCGACCCCUAAGGCGAGGCUGAAAAGCGUAGUCGAUGGGAAACGGGUUAAUAUUCCCGUACUGGUGGUAACUGCGAUGGGGGAACGGAGAAGGCUAGGUUGUCCGGGCGACGGUCGUCCCGGUUCAAGCAGGUAGGCAGAGUGAUUAGGCAAAUCCGGUCACUUAAUGCUGAGAUGUGAUGACGAACCACCAAGGUGGUGAAGCAAUUGAUGCCCCGCUUCCAGGAAAAGCCUCUAAGCUUCAGGUUACCAACAAUCGUACCCCAAACCGACACAGGUGGUCAGGUAGAGAAUACUCAGGCGCUUGAGAGAACUCGGGUGAAGGAACUAGGCAAAAUGGUGCCGUAACUUCGGGAGAAGGCACGCUGGCGGUAGGUAAAGUCCCUUGCGGACGGCGCUGAAGCCAGUCGAAGAUACCAGCUGGCUGCAACUGUUUAUUAAAAACACAGCACUGUGCAAACACGAAAGUGGACGUAUACGGUGUGACGCCUGCCCGGUGCUGGAAGGUUAAUUGAUGGGGUCAGCCGUAAGGCGAAGCUCCUGAUCGAAGCCCCAGUAAACGGCGGCCGUAACUAUAACGGUCCUAAGGUAGCGAAAUUCCUUGUCGGGUAAGUUCCGACCUGCACGAAUGGCGUAAUGAUGGCCAGGCUGUCUCCACCCGAGACUCAGUGAAAUUGAACUCGCUGUGAAGAUGCAGUGUACCCGCGGCAAGACGGAAAGACCCCGUGAACCUUUACUAUAGCUUGACACUGAACAUUGAGCCUUGAUGUGUAGGAUAGGUGGGAGGCUUUGAAGUGUGGACGCCAGUCUGCAUGGAGCCAACCUUGAAAUACCACCCUUUAACGUUUGAUGUUCUAACCUAGGCCCAUAAACUGGGUCGGGGACCGUGUCUGGUGGGUAGUUUGACUGGGGCGGUCUCCUCCUAAAGAGUAACGGAGGAGCACGAAGGUUGGCUAAGCAUGGUCGGACAUCAUGCGGUUAGUGCAAAGGCAUAAGCCAGCUUGACUGCGAGAGUGACGGCUCGAGCAGGUACGAAAGUAGGUCUUAGUGAUCCGGUGGUUCUGAAUGGAAGGGCCAUCGCUCAACGGAUAAAAGGUACUCCGGGGAUAACAGGCUGAUACCGCCCAAGAGUUCAUAUCGACGGCGGUGUUUGGCACCUCGAUGUCGGCUCAUCACAUCCUGGGGCUGAAGUAGGUCCCAAGGGUAUGGCUGUUCGCCAUUUAAAGUGGUACGCGAGCUGGGUUUAGAACGUCGUGAGACAGUUCGGUCCCUAUCUGCCGUGGGCGUUGGAAGAUUGAGAGGGGUUGCUCCUAGUACGAGAGGACCGGAGUGAACGCACCACUGGUGUUCGGGUUGUCAUGCCAAUGGCAUUGCCCGGUAGCUAAGUGCGGAAGAGAUAACCGCUGAAAGCAUCUAAGCGGGAAACUUGCCUCGAGAUGAGUCUUCCCUGUCGCUUUAAGCGACCUAAAGGAACGUUUAAGACUAAGACGUUGAUAGGCUGGGUGUGUAAGCGUAGCGAUACGUUGAGCUAACCAGUACUAAUGAACCGUGAGGCUUAACCUG